UCCACAGGUAGAGGCUAAGAAGCUCGCCCCGAAAGAAACACGGGCGCCCCUAGGGACGAGCGGAGCCAUUGGCGCGACCGGCUACCCACGAG
ncrna:unclassified sequences c-di-GMP-II-GAG riboswitch